ensembl:lncRNA
AUGUUCCAUCCCUCCUUCAGAUGUUCCAUCCCUCCUUCAGAUGUUCCAUCCCUCCUUCAGACUUUCCAUCCCUCCUUCAGAUGUUCCAUCCCUCCUUCAGAUGUUCCCUCCCUCCUUCAGAUGUUCAUCCCUCCUUCAGACGUUCCAUCCCUCCUUCAGACUGUUCCAUCCCUCCUUCAGAUGAUCCAUCCCUCCUUCAGACAUUCCAUCCCUCCUUCAGACAUUCCAUCCCUCCUUCAGAUGUUCCAUCCCUCCUUCAGACGUUCCAUCCCUCCUUCAGACGUUCCUGUGGAAGUCUCUGUCUGGCUGUGGUUGUCCAUUUAGCAUAAUGCCACAGAACAGACCUUUGCAGCAUUUAACUAGCAUCGCUCCCAACACCAAGGUUUCAAGCACUGCGUUCCAGAAGGCAAACGUGUACAGGGUCUUGUUGCAGUACUGGCCGUCUGAACGGGUUGGGUCGUAGUUGGGUUGGUAUAUAGAGAAGAUCCACACAUUUCCUGCAGACAGUUUUGACAAAUAGGUCAUAAAGAAAACAAUACCAUGUUUCAAUUACAUUUAUAUUGACAAUAUACAGACCUGUAGAACGUGACUAGGCCACACCUUCUGUGUAGUAUUAUACUUUGUCAUAGUUUGUUUUGUUUGUAUAGUGCAUAUUUCCCCCUUCAUUGUAAGCAAUCAGAUUGCUCACCUGAUCUGUGACACACACAGUGGUGGAAAAAGUACCCACUUGUCACACUUGAGUAAAAGUAAAGAAACAUUAAUAGAAUAUGACUCAAGUAAAAGUGAAAGUCAGCCAGUAAAAUACUACUUGAGUAAAAGUCUAAAAGUAUUUGGUUUUAAAUAUAAUUAAGUAUCAAAAGUAUUUAUACUUUUAAAUUCCAUAUAUUAAGCAAACCAGAAAACAAUACAAUGUUUCAAUUACAUUUAUAUUAACAAUGUAGUACAGACCUGAAAAUAUAUUUGAUGUUUUGUGUAUUACAUAAAAGUAAUGUAUUUAAAAAAAACUUGAAGUGUGUUGAUAAUGAAACAAACAAUUACAGCCAUCUACCUUUUGUUCAUGUUUUUACAGCAAUACUUUCUCUCACCAGCAAUGAUCCAACAGAACCCUGACAAAGCCAACAAGAACUGCAGUGAGACACAGAUACAGCUCUUUGGGGUAUGCUGCCCCCUCCCCUCUGGGUCCCAGGGGAACGACAUCCAUGUUGUCAUAAUCAGGUUGAAGAUGGCCAUCCAUAGCAGGUAGUUGGGGAUGUACGGUUGCUGGGUGCAAUCAUAUUUGUACACGACACCUAUGUAUGGAAAUAAGCACUUUAAGUGGUAAUAAACAAUAUGAUGGAGGUAACAGGAUUGAAAUGGGGGGGGGGGGGUCCACAGGAAAUGCAUGUCUAAACAGAAAUGGGUUCUAGCCUGUACCUGACCCUUGACGAUCCGGGCAACGGUUAUAACAGUGAACACAAGUGGAGAGGGGAACAGAGGAAGGACCGAAAGUCACCAACAUGUUUUCCCCUCUCACAUAAUUGGAGACACAAUGCAGACACUAGUAAUACUAUUUAGAAUUGAUUGUAUGUACUCUAUAGCACUUUACCAGAUGCUCAAAGCACUUUACAUUGUAAUAUGUUGAAAUAUAGUUUAAAAAAUACAACUUUUGAAUCUGUUACUUCAAUAAUGCUGUGGAUUGUGGAUCGAUGUAUAUUGAUUGCAAUUAUUCCAGAAUGAGUGAGCGUUCAUGUGCAAAGGAUUAGCAUUUAAAUCAAUAUAAUUAUCAACUGUGUAGUGACUUUUGUCUUUCGCGCCCUUCUCAGUCCACACCCACUUCCCUUUGUCUACCAAGUCACCAUAUCGGCUUAGCCCACUAGCGAACAUCAACUAUCAUUUCCUUGUAACCAUAUCUACUAUUUGUUUGUUUGUUAUGCAUUUCUGUGAUUAUUUAGUUAGUUAGUAAAUAAAUGAUUAAGACAAUUGAUGUAUGGAUGAUGCAUAUUGAAGGCUGGGUUCAUGCAGAUAACCAACAAUUUACG